rnacentral:rRNA from 1 species
CCGUCGGAAUUCAGCCCCUAUGGAUUCCAUGACUUUGAUUCUGGCUCAGGAUGAACGGCUGGCCGUGCGUGCCUAAUACCAUGCAAGUCGAACGACACAAGCGAAAGGUGUCUUUGCACCUUUCAAGUGGAAGUGGCGGAACGGGUGAGUAACACGUGGACAACCUGCCUCAAGGCUGGGGAUAACAUUUGGAAACAGAUGCUAAUACCGAAUAAAAACUUAGUGUCGCAUGACAACAAAGUUAAAAGGCGCUUCGGCGUCACCUAGAGAUGGAUCCGCGGUGCAUUAGUUAGUUGGUGGGGUAAAGGCCUACCAAGACAAUGAUGCAUAGCCGAGUUGAGAGACUGAUCGGCCACAUUGGGACUGAGACACGGCCCAAACUCCUACGGGAGGCUGCAGUAGGGAAUCUUCCACAAUGGGCGAAAGCCUGAUGGAGCAACGCCGCGUGUGUGAUGAAGGCUUUCGGGUCGUAAAGCACUGUUGUAUGGGAAGAACAGCUAGAAUAGGAAAUGAUUUUAGUUUGACGGUACCAUACCAGAAAGGGACGGCUAAAUACGUGCCAGCAGCCGCGGUAAUACGUAUGUCCCGAGCGUUAUCCGGAUUUAUUGGGCGUAAAGCGAGCGCAGACGGUUUAUUAAGUCUGAUGUGAAAGCCCGGAGCUCAACUCCGGAAUGGCAUUGGAAACUGGUUAACUUGAGUGCAGUAGAGGUAAGUGGAACUCCAUGUGUAGCGGUGGAAUGCGUAGAUAUAUGGAAGAACACCAGUGGCGAAGGCGGCUUACUGGACUGCAACUGACGUUGAGGCUCGAAAGUGUGGGUAGCAAACAGGAUUAGAUACCCUGGUCAGUCCACACCGUAAACGAUGAACACUAGGUGUUAGGAGGUUUCCGCCUCYUAGUGCCGAAGCUAGACGCAUUAAGUGUUCCGCCUGGGGAGUACCGACCGCAAGGUUGCAUUCUCAAAG